rnacentral:rRNA from 1 species
AUUCCAGCUCCAAUAGCGUAUAUUAAAGUUGUUGCGGUUAAAAAGCUCGUAGUUGGAUUUCUGCCGAGGACGACCGGUCCGCCCUCUGGGUGAGCAUCUGGCUCGGCCUGGGCAUCUUCUUGGAGAACGUAUCUGCACUUGACUGUGUGGUGCGGUAUUCAGGACUUUUACUUUGAGGAAAUUAGAGUGUUUCAAGCAGGCAUACGCCUUGAAUACAUUAGCAUGGAAUAAUAAGAUAGGACCUCGGUUCUAUUUUGUUGGUUUCUAGAUCUGAGGUAAUGAUUAAUAGGGAUAGUUGGGGGUGCUAGUAUUGGCCGGCCAGAGGUGAAAUUCUUGGAUUUACGGAAGACGAACGACUGCGAAAGCAUUUACCAAGGAUGUUUUCAUUA